GAGUUUGAUCCUGGCUCAGGAUGAACGCUGGCGGCGUGCUUAACGCAUGCAAGUCGAACGGACGAAUCUUAUCGGAGUUUUUCGGAACAAAGAAAAGAUAAGUUAGUGGCGGACGGGUGCGUAACGUGUGGGUAAUCUGCCUUUGUCAUGGGAAUAACUGCUCGAAAGAACAGCUAAUACCCAAUAACGUAUGUAAUAGGCAUCUAUUAGAUAUCAAAGAGAAAUCGGACAAAGAUGAGCCCGCAUCUGAUUAGCUAGUUGGUAGAGUAACAGCCUACCAAGGCAACGAUCAGUAGCCGACCUGAGAGGGUGAACGGCCACAUUGGAACUGAGACACGGUCCAAACUCCUACGGGAGGCAGCAGUGGGGAAUAUUGCACAAUGGGGGGAACCCUGAUGCAGCAACGCCGCGUGAGUGAAGAAGGCUUUCGAGUCGUAAAACUCUGUUGUAAGGGAAGAUAAUGACAGUACCUUAAAAGAAAGCCCCGGCUAACUACGUGCCAGCAGCCGCGGUAAUACGUAGGGGGCAAGCGUUAUCCGGAAUCACUGGGCGUAAAGGGUGCGCAGGUGGUCUGUCAAGUUAGAGGUGAAAGGCAUAGGCUCAACCAAUGUAAGCCUUUAAAACUGACGGACUUGAGUGCAGGAGAGGAAAGUGGAAUUCCUAGUGUAGCGGUGAAAUGCGUAGAUAUUAGGAGGAAUACCGGUGGCGAAGGCGACUUUCUGGACUGUAACUGACACUGAGGCACGAAAGCGUGGGGAGCAAACAGGAUUAGAUACCCUGGUAGUCCACGCCGUAAACGAUGAGUACUAGGUGUCGGGGUGAGACCUCGGUGCCGCAGUUAACACAUUAAGUACUCCGCCUGGGGAGUACGCUCGCAAGAGUAAAACUCAAAGGAAUUGACGGGGACCCGCACAAGCAGCGGAGCAUGUGGUUUAAUUCGAAGCAACGCGAAGAACCUUACCUAAACUUGACAUACCGAUGACGGACUUGUAAUGGAGUUGUUUCCUUCGGGGACAUCGGAUACAGGUGGUGCAUGGUUGUCGUCAGCUCGUGUCGUGAGAUGUUGGGUUAAGUCCCGCAACGAGCGCAACCCUUGUCAAUAGUUGCCAGCACUUGGGGUGGGGACUCUAUUGAGACAGCUAAGGACAACUUAGAGGAAGGUGGGGAUGACGUCAAAUCAUCAUGCCCCUUAUGUUUAGGGCUACACACGUGCUACAAUGGUCAUUACAGAGGGAAGCGAAACUGUGAAGCGGAGCGAACCCCAAAAAGAUGAUCUAAGUUCGGAUUGUAGGCUGAAACUCGCCUACAUGAAGUUGGAGUUGCUAGUAAUCGCGAAUCAGCAUGUCGCGGUGAAUGCGUUCCCGGGUCUUGUACACACCGCCCGUCACACCAUGGGAGUUCGGGGGGCCCAAAGUCAGUGAGCAAACCGCAAGGGUGCAGCUGCCUAAGGCAAAACGAAUGACUGGGGUGAAGUCGUAACAAGGUAGCCGUAUCGGAAGGUGCGGCUGGAUCACCUCCUU
rnacentral:rRNA from 1 species